GAAAGCAGAGAGGCAGUUGUUCAGAGGGAUAAGCACUUUUGUGGUUUAUUUUGUGGAUUGAAAAGUAAAUUUGAGAUGUAUAUAUGGAUAGUUUGGUAUAUAUUUUGUGGAUGUAGUAAUUUGAAACUGUAAACGAAUGGUAUUAUUGGGAUGUAUUUUGAAUGGUUGAUACAUUUUGGCUUUAAAUUUAAAUGAGAAUGUAGACCUUUUAGCUAUAUAUCAUGGCAUUAGCAUAUUGCAGGUGCAUUGGUAAUGUAGGU
rnacentral:lncRNA from 1 species